rnacentral:rRNA from 1 species
UGGGGAAUUUUGGACAAUGGGCGAAAGCCUGAUCCAGCAAUGCCGCGUGUGUGAAGAAGGCCUUCGGGUUGUAAAGCACUUUUUUCCGGAAAGAAAACGCCGUGGUUAAUACCCGUGGCGGAUGACGGUACCGGAAGAAUAAGCACCGGCUAACUACGUGCCAGCAGCCGCGGUAAUACGUAGGGUGCAAGCGUUAAUCGGAAUUACUGGGCGUAAAGCGUGCGCAGGCGGUCCGCUAAGACAGAUGUGAAAUCCCCGGGCUUAACCUGGGAACUGCAUUUGUGACUGGCGGGCUAGAGUAUGGCAGAGGGGGGUAGAAUUCCACGUGUAGCAGUGAAAUGCGUAGAGAUGUGGAGGAAUACCGAUGGCGAAGGCAGCCCCCUGGGCCAAUACUGACGCUCAUGCACGAAAGCGUGGGGAGCAAACAGG